AGAGACGCGAUAGCGCGGCAGUCGUGGAAGAAGACGUCGCAUCGUCGCAGACUCGCAGUCGUACUACGGAACUACCGGCAUGCCAAGAUGGCGCUUUAGUUAAACACAUAAACUCUCGACCCGUACUUCCAAUACGCAGAAGUAUGGAACUGCAGAAACUAGGAAAAAGGGAAAAUCUGUAUUCAGAACUCAGAAGUAAGUGAAGGAGGAAGCUUGUUUGUCGUUGAACAUUGAUCUGUACAACAAAAAUAAUAUCGUACAUUUGAAAAUUGAAAAAUUUUAAUAAACUCCUUUUCCACUGUUAUAUAGAAUUUAAUUUUGCCAAAACCGAAUUUGAAAUGGUAAUAGAAUGCAAUAAAAAAGAACGAGAAAAACUUUUCAGCCAGUCUAAUGGUGCAUUAUUACCGGGGUACUUCACGAGAAGCGAGUAUGUGACCUAUCCAACACGGCAUGGUAUAUAUUUAAUAUUUAAGAAAAAUUUCCUCGAUUUUGACUAAAUUCUCAAGAACGUAAUAUAUUCUACAAUUUCCUCUCAAUUAUAGACAUUCUUGUUUUAGUAAUAUCGCUUUCCAUUUUAUAAAAUAAGCCUACAACUCAAUAUUGAAAUCAAUAAUAACAACAAAAUUAUUGUGCCUCUUGUGGGUACUGGCAACUGGAGAAGAGUACACCAUUUAACAUAAU